rnacentral:rRNA from 1 species
GACGAAGGGGGCUAGCGUUGUUCGGAAUUACUGGGCGUAAAGCGCGUGUAGGCGGUUGUUCAAGUCAGGGGUGAAAGCCUUGAGCUCAACUCAAGAAAUGCACUUGAUACUGGAUGACUAGAGGACCGGAGAGGAUAGUGGAAUUCCCAGUGUAGUGGUGAAAUACGUAGAGAUUGGGAAGAACACCAGUGGCGAAGGCGGCGACCUGGACCGAUACUGACGCUGAUGUGCGAAAGCGUGGGGAGCAAACAGG